UGGGGAAUAUUGCACAAUGGGGGAAACCCUGAUGCAGCGACGCCGCGUGAGUGAGGAAGUAUUUCGGUAUGUAAAGCUCUAUCAGCAGGGAAGAAAAUGACGGUACCUGACUAAGAAGCCCCGGCUAACUACGUGCCAGCAGCCGCGGUAAUACGUAGGGGGCAAGCGUUAUCCGGAUUUACUGGGUGUAAAGGGAGCGUAGACGGAUAAGCAAGUCUGAUGUGAAAAUCCGGGGCCCAACCCCGGAAUUGCAUUGGAAACUGCAUAUCUAGAGUGUCGGAGAGGCAAGUGGAAUUCCUGGUG
rnacentral:rRNA from 1 species